rnacentral:lncRNA from 1 species
GCCAAACCAAGAGCAAAGGAAUAACAAAGGGAGAAAAGAAAAACAAGAACCCUAGGUGGGAAAAUUCAAAGGAAAAUUGGUGGAUUUCAAGGAAUCAAGCAAUCAAAGGUAAAAUUUCUUGAUUUUGACUUGUGAUCUACCUUUCCCAUGCAUUUCACCUUAUUUUUCAUGGUUAGAUUUCAUGUUUUCAUGGUGGAUUGGUGGCUGGUCAAAAUGGGUAUGGAGAGAGAAAGAUGUUGAUUGAUUUGAUUUU